UUAAGAGCUAUCCCAGCCAGUUUAUAGAGGCACAGACACAUUCUGGACCACAUACUGGGGAAAAAAGUCUCCAGUUUUGUGCACUCCCAGUCACUGGGGAGAGAGAGAGACAGGAAAAGUCUCAGAUGGGAUGGCAUGGAUAUAAUAAUGCAGUACUCUAACAUGCUGUCUUUCAUUCAAGUGCCUUAAAGUCUUUUAUAAACACCAGUUGCAAGUAGGUAAGGAUCAUUAUCUCAUUUUAUAGGUGGGUCAGCUGAGAAGCAGAUGCUAGGACCAAAGAAAUGGACUGACAUCCACACUUGGGAAAAAGUCUCCUAGGAUCCAUCUCCCAUGCCCAGAUUGAAAAGUACUAUAUUUUCUUGCAGACAAGGUUCUUUAGGUGAAUAUAUCUUGCAUAUAUAUAAUGCAGCCGGGAAUACAAUACACACCUUGGUUUUGAAAGGUAGAUUGGAGUAACGGAUAAAACCUUUCCUUAAGGUAAGUAGCUGAGUAUCAGCAGCAGGGAGCUGAGCAUGCCUUUCUUCAGCUCCCCGUGGAUUGCUGCAGAUUUUACUUAUGGUUUUACCCAGUAAAUGACAGAACCUGCUCUUGCCAUAUUUCUCACAUAUAAAGCAAACCUAUAUUUCCAGAAGCGAUUUGUGAAGGAAGGGGGUGCAUUUUGUAUGCAAGAAAAUACAGUACUGUCGAGCAGAUGGUCACUAAGGAGAUUUUAAGCAAACAAGCACUACCCCAAACCAAUAGACAGAUCCCUUUUGGAAGCGUUUUGAGCAAAGGUUCAGCACAGCGAUAUUUCACGGUGCUGUUACUCUGCAGAGUUGAUCUGGUUGCAGUUCAGUCUCUGGUACAAUAGUUACCCAGCCUGUUCAAGUGAAAUUCAUAAUAAGUCUGUGGCUAGCUCUUUCUUUGAUAAUUUCUAUCCCCUCCAUUUGUUUAUCUCAAGGGCUGAGCUUUGUUCCAGGCUCAAAACCAAAAGUCUUCCUCCCCUGUUCUCUCCUUGACUUGUUGCAGUUGUAAGGAAAUAAAUCUUUUUCCCUUCCUCUCUGCUGUUUCAUGCAAUCGCAAACCCCAAGGAAGAAAAAUAGAUCGCAUGCUUAGCUCACCAAAUCGUGGAUAAUACCACGUUUACUUUUGCAGUCCGCCGUUCAAAUGAAAAUGUGUCCAUUCCCCUGGAAGUGUCUUGACUAGCAUCGACAUCUUAACCAAGAGCAUCAGUGCAUGAUCCCCAAUUCUGAAAUUCAGACUAGUCCUAGGAAAACGGACCAACAAAACCCAUUCCCUCGAGCCAGAAUCAACUUCAGCUUAGAUCAACCAGAUCCCCAGCUGACAUAAACUGACUACAUCCAUCAGCUGAGCAUCUGCCCUUCGGGUUCUUCACCCCUGGGAAUAAAUUAAGGAGAAAACACAUGGAGGACUAUGGAGGCACGAGUUGCAUUCAUCUUGUGGAUUAGUUGUUUCAUUCCAGCUCUUCACUCAGGAGGGAUGAACUGGAGCUUUUUUUUUUUUCUUGUUUAAGUGGUAUUUGCACAUUCUAAGCAAUUUUGACAGUUACUAUUGAGGAAAGUGUAAUUAGAUGCUUUGAAAACUGGAAGAAAUUAACUCUGACCACAGACCAUCAGUCAGAUUAUUAUUUAAUAAUACUUCCCAAAUGUGCAAAGUACUUAGUUUUAGAAUAACAGGAAAAAAAGAAUAACUUUCUACUGAGGGCUAAAAUGUUGCCCAGAAGAAACAUGAAUCAUCAGUGUCCUUCCUUCCAAGGGCGAUAAAGGAAGCGACCAGUUUCUCCCACUUUGCCCAUUUCACGGGGCUUGGCAUCAGGAGGCAAUCCACUCCACCCUUCCGCCCAGGCCGAUAACGAGCCUUGCUGCUAUUAGCGCUGCUAAAGAGACACAGACGGUGCCUCUUUGCUCGGAAAUUUGUCAUGAACCUUAAAUCUCGUCUCGCUUUCACGGCUGGAAAGCAGUUAACGGUAAGAAGCAGGCCCGAGGUGCCAGACCUGGGUAACAGAAGAGGUCCUGCCGUUUCCAACAUGCCACGGAAACCACUAAGAAAUUGCUGUUUUCCUUCUUCUACAGCACCGGCCAGGCUUGUUGACUCACUUGUAGCUACAGGAGGCCUGGCUAGAAAGAGAUCAUUGUGAUUCCUCUCUGUUUCUUUCCUCACUACAAAAGAGUCCAUUCAUAGGGGCUAAUUUUGAAAGGAGGGCAAGGGAUAUCGCUCCCAUGAACUGGAUCUGAACACUUCAACCACAAUUUAGGAGGCCAGAGCCAGGCCUCUGAGGCCCUGUUCAACCUGGUGAAAGACUUUUUUUUUUAAUUGAAUGGAAGCAUGGAUUUGAUUCUGAACAGAAAGGAUCUUUCCUGACACAUUUCAAAAUGGUUAGGAUGCCAAAGCAUGUCUUUGGAGCGAGAGCUCGGGCCUAUGAAAACAGGAACAAAACGAUAUUAUUCUCCAGGCCAAUGGGCAUUCGCAUUUCACUCGGGGGUGAGCAAAAUUACCGUGCCUCUGAAAUGGCGAGACGCUGACUUCUUUCCAAGAUUGCAAGAAGAUGGGCCCUUUCUUUCUUUCUUUCUUUCAAAAAAAAAAAAGAAAAAAUGAAUACGUGAUCCCUGAUUCAUAUAACCGCUAGUCUUUGUGGAGCACAACUGGGAAUGUCUGUGUGUGGGAAGAUCUACAAUGUAAUUGCUUUCAGCAGAAUAUCACUGCACUAUGUAAUUAAAAUAUAAGAGGUUGCCAGUUUCAAAAA